GCAGAGUAGACAAACAGGCGUUAAGUGUCCGGCAGACGGGGAGUUGCUGCCGGGACGAAAAGCGGUAUCGCUUGCGGUCUGGUUGUUGCAUCCCGCUGU
rnacentral:ncRNA from 1 species